UACGAAGGGAGCGAGCGUUGUUCGGAAUCACUGGGCUUAAAGCGUGCGUAGGCGGGCAGGAAAGUCAGAAGUGAAAGCCCCGGGCUUAACCCGGGAACUGCUUUUGAAACUUCCUGUCUAGAAACCGGGAGAGGUUGGCGGAAUAUCCAGUGUAGAGGUGAAAUUCGCAGAUAUUGGAUGGAACACCAGUGGCGAAGGCGGCCAACUGGCCCGGUAUUGACGCUGAGGCACGAAAGCGUGGGUAGCAAACAGG
rnacentral:rRNA from 1 species